GUUCAUCUAAGUUAGACAAACGAAUGGAAUAAAAGAAGAAAGUUCAAGUCAAUCCGGAUCACAAGCGAAGGACGGCAAAGGUAAAGCGACUUGCUAAAUGACGUUUCUUGGAUCGAACACCCAUGACGUACGCUUCCGCAAGGAUAUUAGCUUGGGUCAAAACUUUUGCUAAAUGUACUUUUGGUAAAAUGGGUCUUUUUGUAAGUAACAAAACUUGGUUGUUGUUAGUUGUCGAACUCGUAGUCGAAGACAAUGUUAGUUGUUUAUGAAAUGUUGG
rnacentral:lncRNA from 1 species